GACGAACGCUGGCGGCGUGCUUAACACAUGCAAGUCGAACGCUGAAGCUUGGUGCUUGCACUGGGUGGAUGAGUGGCGAACGGGUGAGUAAUAAGUGUGUACCCUGCCCUUGACUCUGGGAUAAGCCUGGGAAACUGGGUCUAAUACUGGAUACGACAUGUCACCGCAUGGUGGUGUGUGGAAAGGGUUUUACUGGUUUUGGAUGGGCUCACGGCCUAUCAGCUUGUUGGUGGGGUAAUGGCUCACCAAGGCGACGACGGGUAGCCGGCCUGAGAGGGUGACCGGCCACACUGGGACUGAGACACGGCCCAGACUCCUACGGGAGGCAGCAGUGGGGAAUAUUGCACAAUGGGCGGAAGCCUGAUGCAGCGACGCCGCGUGAGGGAUGACGGCCUUCGGGUUGUAAACCUCUUUCAGCACGGAAGAAGCGAAAGUGACGGUACGUGCAGAAGAAGCGCCGGCUAACUACGUG
rnacentral:rRNA from 1 species